GGUUCCUUAGCUUAAUAGGUAAAGCAUGUUUUUGAUAAGGAUGUGAUCGAUGUUCGAUUCAUCGAGGAAUCA
rnacentral:tRNA from 1 species